rnacentral:rRNA from 1 species
AGCUUCCUUCGGGAAGUGGAUUAGCGGCGGACGGGUGAGUAACACGUGGGUAACCUGCCUCAAAGUGGGGGAUAGCCUUCCGAAAGGAAGAUUAAUACCGCAUAAUAUAAGAGAAUCGCAUGAUUUUUUUAUCAAAGAUUUAUUGCUUUGAGAUGGACCCGCGGCGCAUUAGCUAGUUGGUAAGGUAACGGCUUACCAAGGCAACGAUGCGUAGCCGACCUGAGAGGGUGAUCGGCCACAUUGGAACUGAGACAC